GCUGGCAUGGCUUAGUGGUUUGAGUGUUGGAGAAGGACUCUGGAGACCAGGGUUCGAAUCCCGGCUUAGCC